GAUUAUGCUGGGAAAUUAAUCUCCUUUAGCCUUGGUUAAAUUUAUUGUGGCCACUGACUGAAGGAAAGCCCUGUCACUGCAGUGAGGGCCAUGUCCCCUUGUUCGUUUUUCCUCCGUCUUCCAGGAUCUCCCAGUUGCGUGUGAUAGUCGUGCCCCAAGUCCUCGGGAGUGACUGGAGUGAGAAAGGGUGGAAAGGCGCAUCUGGGCAAAGGCCGCGGAAGUCCCCAGUGAAUCCCCUUUGUCCUAAACGCUACGUUUCCGUCCCGAAUUCCCUAAUUCCAUAUCCUGCAUCCCCACAGCACCUCGCCUUUACCAACAAGGGGUUCUGGAGGCCCGCUGCCGGGAAGGAGUCUGGAGUGGCAGGAAAAGAAAGUGGGGUGUGUCGGGGGAGCACUGCCAGCCAAACUCACUAGUUUGCCCUCUCCCCCGCACUCCCUUUCUGGGCCUUCGGCAGGGAGCUGCGGUCUUGCGAAGACUACUUCUCUGCGCAAAAACGCACAGCUCGUUCUUGGUGUUCUUCCUGGCACAACUCCGGAGUCACUUCCCCUUGACGUGCAUGGCGCUUGAGGCCGCGGGUCUAGGGCGCUUCUCACUCCUCCUGGCUCCUCUGGCACCUGCGCAUUGUCGGGCGGAGACCUCCCUUCCAGCCUCGCCGCCCUGCGCGGUCAGCCUAGUCCAGCGCGACUCCGGCAGUCGCGGGAAGCGGAGGAUCCGGCCCCGCCGGCCGCGCCUCUCAGCGGGAGAUAACAACAUCUGCCUGAAACGGGAUACCUACUUUUGCAGCUCAUUUGAGCUCUUAAUAGCAGCCCUCUGAGGUGUGGUUAAUUGAUGGGGAUAAAGGCGUAAUGACUUGACAGGGAGACGCCAAUGAUCCUUUAAUAUACUUUUAAAAGAACAACAACCACCCCCAAACACCGGCCUGUCUUUGCUCGGUGGGGGGAAAAGGCAGGGAUCUGGAGUCUGGAAUAACGGCGCUGGUGGUGUUUGUACCUGGAAGCGUCAGUGUGGGGUGAGCCCUGGCUCGCAGGGCUGGGGCACCAGAAAGAGGCCAAGGCGCCCAGCUCGGGCUGACAGCGCGUUGUUGCGUGGCUGCGGGGAGCGAGGAGGGACGGGGAGCCAGCCGAGAGAGCACCGGCUGACAGGUGACCCGGCCGAUAGGCGAAGAGGAGCACGGAGCCGGGGGCAUGUCGCUUCUCCCUGGGCUCUGCCCCUCUAUGAGCCCUUCCCCUACGUGGGGCUGGAUACCCACAAGCCGGGCGCCUCUGUCUGCCCGCCCUCCUUGACUAGAGAGACCCCGUAUCUAGUUUGAGCGACAUCAUCAAGUGGCCGGCGGGAACAGGGGGGUUCCGCUGCUUGGACAACCUCAGGCCCCAGCGCCAGGACAGAGGCACGCGCCCGUGUGAGUGUGUGUACGUGCGCGUGCGCGCAAACCGCUCCGAAACGCACAGCUGGAGCACAGCAGCCCCGAGCACGUGGCUGUAUUUAGACCAAGUCUGUCCAGAACCCCAGUGCCAGGCGUAUUGGGAUUUACCUGCGCGGCAGCUGGGUCCCGCCGCCCGGUCAGAGGAACCCCUGCGCACUAUCCCACCCCAGACCUCCGCUUACCGUUUUCUCCUCAGUACCUUCCCUUUCUUUUGCCCGAUUUCCCUUUGCUCAGUCAGUUCUAGCUGAGUCUCUAGAGGGUCAAAUAAGUGUUUUUACUCGUCGCAGGUACCGAACUUAGGUUCACACAAAUCCUAAAAUGAAAAAAAAAAUCAUAUUGCCUUUUCCGUUUGCAAAGGGGAACCCCCUCCAGAUGUGAGCUGUGGUGUCCCUAGCAGGUUUUGCAAGUCUCUUGUUUUACCUUUGGAAAAAGAUAACCUUGAUGCUUCAGGUUUGAGCUCCCUCUGGAAGCAAAAAGAGAAACGACUCCAAUCACCGUCUAUAUCUUAUUGCAUUGAGAGAUAGCAGGUGUUUAGGCUGCAGCUAUUGUCUGCCUUCCUCCCUGAGCUCACAUAACAAGGAUGAAAGAGUCUAAGGAACUUAGUUUCCCCAAACGCUCUUGCAUAGGAGGGCGGGGAAACUUCGGAAUCAAGGACUUAAAGAAAUGCAAUUGAGUCCCAACUCGCAAAGUGUGUCAGUCUCCAUGUGGUUCCGUCCUUCCGCCGUCACUGUCUAGUCUCAUCUAGUGUCGUUCUUCUGCUUUCUGUAGAUCUCUAGGAACUCAGGAUUCCCUGCCGCUUAGCCGUCGAGCUCCCGACCCCUCCGCAUCCCUAGCCGGGAAGGACUGAGAGCUGAGCUCCAAGGUCGUGGUCUGGUCCUCAGGGAUGAGGUCCCGGGUCCAGACUCUUUCCUUGGUCAGCAACUCCUGCUUAGAAGCUCCCCGCCCCGAAUGGAAUCGUGACCUGGCGCUAGGUCCCCCGCUGGGAGUGCCCGAGGCUUUCCUGAAGGCCCCAGGCCUUCAGGCCGCCAGGGUCCUAAGGUGCCUGUGGCGGCCCCUCGUCCGCCUGAGCCCUGAGAUCAGCGCGGCCCUCGGUGCUGCAGGGCCCCAGGGCGGCCAGGAAACACCUGCCCGAAGUCCAGGCCCGGCCCCACUGCAGUCCAGGACCCUAAUUCUCGAGUGUCUCUUCACGACCCUGACCCCGGAAGGGCGCUCCCUUGCGAACGAAUUUUUAAUUCUGCGGACUGGGAUCCCUUGUAGGGGCCCCUCCGAGGGCCCCUCCCACCCCUUUCCCUGGACUAGCGAACUCCGACCCUAAGCGCGGCCCCGCAGGGAGCGGAUCCCGGAAGCUAGGCCCAUAUCCGGCCGCGGAGCCUUGCGCGCGGGGUUGGCUGCCGGGAGGUCGACGCUAGUGCGGUCCCCCGCGCGGCGGAGGGGCCCGGGCCGCGGUAUCUGCGCACUGAGACGUCGGCGGAAGGCUAGAGGCCGUGCUCUCGCCCCCGCAGAAGGCCACCACUCCUUGAGAAGGCCGGAGGGACAAAGCACCGGGCCUGCGCCGGGGGCAUUCAAGAAGGAAGCCAGGCCCGACCGGGGGUGGCGCACGCUUCCCGAACCCCAGGCCCACGGCCCGGUUCCGCGCGGGCAGUUGGCGCCCCCUCGGGUCGGCACAGCAGACCUCUUAGUAAUGGUCCCCAGGGAGUACAGGGACUGAGAAACGGAAAUACUACCAUCCUCCAGCCAAUCUGUUGGGAGGACUGCUUGCAGAGGACUCGUGCUCCAGAUGUUGCACUAGAGGCGCUGCAAGUGUGAGCAGCAGGUAGAUGAAACUCAAGAGAAAAGGUGUGGAUAAAUGAAACUAGCCCAUGAUGAACCUGUUUUCUCCGUGACCACAAUAUUAACCAGGAUGAAUGGCGGUGGCAGUGGGCCUGCAUCACAGGUUGCAGCAGAUGUUCUCAAUAUUUCUAUUAAAAUUUCCUUAUUUCCAUAUGCAAGAGGAGCCCCAGAGCUGCAUCCUUAUGGUAGCUACCAUGCCGUGAUGUAAGCUGCCAUUCACUGGGGAGCUUUGGCAAUAGAAUUGGCUAGAUCAGGAAGCCUAUGUCAACUAUGGAACAACAACUUGCAGCUCAUCUCUAUUGAUGGUGAAACAGUCGCAAAUGGAAUUCCAAGAAACAUUCUAUAUACACUGCCUCUAGGACUGGGACAGAUAGCCACUGAGUACCUGCUUCAAAUCACCCUGCACGUUUUCUCUUUGGAAAGAUAAGCACUGGAGAACCAUCUCGUUACCUUCAGCAGAAAUGGAAACAAAUCAAGACAUUAAGAAUGCCGCAGUGGACAGCAGUUAUGCAAGGUUCAGCAGAGGAAGUUUUCAAGAUGGUGUGCCUCACUAGCCAGAAAUCAGAAAAGAUCGAAGCUAGCCUUUUCAUCUCAGCUGCUCCUUAAAUCAGUGCAACCCCUCCAAAUUAAUGUGAAUUGAAACUUGCAUUGCUUUUCAACUUAAUUGAAUACUUACUAUAUGUGAACCACUGCACAAAAUAGGGGAAGAAGAUGUGGGAGACAAAGAUGUGGAGCCUGUCUUCAAUAAAUUUACAGUUAGUUUCAGGGUACAUUGUUUUUCUUCUGCUGUUAAUUAGGUGUAUCCCCAAGACAAUAAAUACAUGAAUGGAAAAGUA
rnacentral:lncRNA from 1 species